CCUACGGGAGGCAGCAGUGAGGAAUAUUGGUCAAUGGACGCAAGUCUGAACCAGCCAUGCCGCGUGCAGGAAGACGGCUCUAUGAGUUGUAAACUGCUUUUGUACGAGGGUAAACGCAGAUACGCGUAUCUGUCUGAAUGUAUCGUACGAAUAAGGAUCGGCUAACUCCGUGCCAGCAGCCGCGGUAAUACGGAGGAUUCAAGCGUUAUCCGGAUUUAUUGGGUUUAAAGGGUGCGUAGGCGGUCGUAUAAGUUAGAGGUGAAAUCCCGGGGCUCAACUUCGGAAUUGCCGCUGAUACUGUUCGGCGAGAGAGUAGUUGCGGUAGGCGGAAUGUAUGGUGUAGCGGUGAAAUGCUUAGAGAUCAUACAGAACACCGAUUGCGAAGGCAGCUUACCAAGCUACUUCUGACGUUGAGGCACGAAAGCGUGGGGAGCAAACAGGAUUAGAUACCCCUGUAGUC
rnacentral:rRNA from 1 species